rnacentral:rRNA from 1 species
GAGUUUGAUCCUGGCUCGAGGAUGAACGCUAGCGGCAGGCCUAACACAUGCAAGUCGAGGGCAGCACGGUGUAGCAAUACACUGGUGGCGACCGGCGCACGGGUGCGUAACGCGUAUGCAACCUACCCAUAACAGGGGGAUAACACUGAGAAAUUGGUAACUAAUACCCCAUAACAUCAGGACCGCAUCGGUUCUGGUUGAAAACUCCGGUGUUAUGGAUGGGCAUGCGUUG